rnacentral:rRNA from 1 species
GACGAACGCUGGCGGCGUGCUUAAUACAUGCAAGUCGAACGGAAAGGCCCUGCUUUUGUGCUGUGCUCGUGUGGCGAACGGGUGUGUAACACGUGAGUAACCUGCCCUUGACUUUGGGAUAUCUUCAGGUUACUGGGGCUAUUACCGGAUAUAAGCUCCUGCUGCAUGUUGGGGGUUGGAAAGUUUCGGCGGUUGUGGAUGGACUGGCGGCUUCUCAGCUUCUUAGUGUGGUAGUGGCUUACCAAGGUUUUGACGGGUAGCCGGCCUGAGAGAGUGACCAGACUCAAGGGGACUGAGAUACGGCACAGAAGGCUAUGGGAGGCAGUAGGGGAAAAUAUUGCACAAUAGGGGGAAGCAUGAUGCAACAACGCGGCGUGCGGAAUGACGGCCUUUGAGGUGUAAACAGCUUUCGCCUAUGACAAAGAGUGAGAGACGGUAACGGGUAAAGAAGCACCGGCUAAAUACGUG